CCUACGGGAGGCAGCAGUGAGGAAUAUUGGUCAAUGGGCGAGAGCCUGAACCAGCCAAGUCGCGUGAAGGAUGACGGCCCUACGGGUUGUAAACUUCUUUUGUCAGGGAGCAAUUUGGUCCACGCGUGGGCUUACCGACAGUACCUGCAGAAAAAGCAUCGGCUAACUCCGUGCCAGCAGCCGCGGUAAUACGGAGGAUGCGAGCGUUAUCCGGAUUUAUUGGGUUUAAAGGGUGCGUAGGCGGAAUAUCAAGUCAGCGGUAAAAAUUCGGGGCUCAACCCCGUCGUGCCGUUGAAACUGAUGUUCUGGAGUGAGCGAGAGGUAUGCGGAAUGCGUGGUGUAGCGGUGAAAUGCAUAGAUAUCAGGAAGAACUCCGAUUGCGAAGGCAGCAUACCGGAGCCCAACUGACGCUGAGGCACGAAAGCGUGGGUAUCAAACAGGAUUAGAUACCCGUGUAGUC
rnacentral:rRNA from 1 species